rnacentral:rRNA from 1 species
UACGUAGGGUGCGAGCGUUAAUCGGAAUUACUGGGCGUAAAGCGUGCGCAGGCGGUUCGUUGUGUCUGAUGUGAAAGCCCCGGGCUUAACCUGGGAAUGGCAUUGGAAACUGGCGAGCUGGAGUGCGGCAGAGGGGGAUGGAAUUCCGCGUGUAGCAGUGAAAUGCGUAGAUAUGCGGAGGAACACCGAUGGCGAAGGCAAUCCCCUGGGCCUGCACUGACGCUCAUGCACGAAAGCGUGGGGAGCAAACAGG